GGNUUUGGGCAUGGGGCGAAACCUGACCANCAACGCCGCGUGCGCGAUGAAGGUCUUNGGGUNGUAAAGCNCUUUUCUNNGAGANGANAANGGNCAGUUUCUCAAGGAAUAAGCUCCUCGGGCUAACUACGUGCCAGCAGCCCGCGGGUANANCGGUAGGAGGCUAAGCGGUUAUCCGGGAUUUACUUGGGCGUAAAGCNUGUGNCAGGUGGUUUGCUAAGNNGGAUGUGAAANCUCCUGNCUCANCUGGGAAAGGNCNUUCAAUACUACCAGACUUGAGUNCGGUAGAGGGAGGUGGAAUUCCCAGGUGUAGUGGUGAAAUGCGUAGAUAUCGGGAGGAACACCAGUGGCGAAAGCGGCCCUCCUGGACCGUAANCUGACACUCUAGACACGAAAGCUAGGGUAGCAAACAGGGAUUAGAGACCCUGGUAGUCCUAGCCUGUAAACGAUGUGAACUUGGCGUCGGCGGCUUCAAAUCNUGUCGUGUGCCGAAGNAUNACGCUUAUAAGACUCACCCGCUGUGGGAGACUACGGCGCGCAAGGUAUAAAACUCAAAAAUAUUGACGAGAA
rnacentral:rRNA from 1 species